rnacentral:miRNA from 1 species
AAAAGACCACCGGUUACACUACA